GCCUACGGGUGGCUGCAGUGGGGAAUAUUGGACAAUGGGGGGAACCCUGAUCCAGCCAUGCCGCGUGUGUGAAGAAGGCCUUAUGGUUGUAAAGCACUUUAAGCGAGGAGGAGGCUACUGAGACUAAUACUCUUGGAUAGUGGACGUUACUCGCAGAAUAAGCACCGGCUAACUCUGUGCCAGCAGCCGCGGUAAUACAGAGGGUGCGAGCGUUAAUCGGAUUUACUGGGCGUAAAGCGUGCGUAGGCGGCUUUUUAAGUCGGAUGUGAAAUCCCCGAGCUUAACUUGGGAAUUGCAUUCGAUACUGGGAAGCUAGAGUAUGGGAGAGGAUGGUAGAAUUCCAGGUGUAGCGGUGAAAUGCGUAGAGAUCUGGAGGAAUACCGAUGGCGAAGGCAGCCAUCUGGCCUAAUACUGACGCUGAGGUACGAAAGCAUGGGGAGCAAACAGGAUUAGAUACCCUGGUAGUC
rnacentral:rRNA from 1 species